UCGAGUUGGGGCCUCGCGCCCCGUUCUCAUCUCUAUCCUGUGUUGUUGACCGGGUUGCGGUGGUGCUUGGUGGCGGCCGUGUCAUGCGGUCGUCGCCCACCGCCCAGCCCAUCUUCUUCAUACAUCAUCAUCCAGUUGACCUUGUCUUGACUGAUUGUGUAUUCGUAAUGGUUAAAA
rnacentral:misc_RNA from 1 species